rnacentral:lncRNA from 1 species
ACCAGCUUUAGUCAGCUCAUCUUCAUCACCAUCACUUUCAGCAGCUUUACUCAACUCAUCUUUAGCUGAAGUUCUUCUUUCUCAAAUUCUUCCAACCUUGACAUUAUACUGCCAUGCUCUGCCUUUCCCACAGCUGAAGGAAAUAUCAAUUGUAGAAUGCCCAAUGCUGAAGAAGCUCCCACUAAACUCCGAUACUACAAAAGGACAAACGCUCAUCAUUUUAGAAGAUGAGUAGUGGUGGAAAAAUGUAGAAUGAGAAGAUGAAUCCACUCAAAUUGCUUUUCUCCUUUUCUUCAUACCUCUGUAAACUACAAAUGCUGUCUAUUUUGUUGUCAAAUAACGAUAGUUAUUCAAAUAACAAGUAGGAUUUUAUUGUCAUAUAUGUAUCAUUAAACAUAUGGUCUUGGAUUUAGUUGUCUUCAUCUUCCAAUGCUGUCUCUUGUGUUUCCUUUUCUGAUCAUUGUUUAAGUGGCAAUAAUGGUGCUAGUAUGAAUGCUACUGAUUCAGUCCUAUCAGUAAAUGAGCAAAGCUUUUUUUGGAACUCUAGCUUCCAUUUGGAUAACAAAAAAGUCAAAGGCUAUAGGUGCUUCAGUUCUUUACUUCUCUUUACUUUCCUAGAACAGGGAUUUAAUUUGCUGAUGAAUUGCUAGGAAGGUGGCAGAGUAAUG